CCAAUGUCCCAUGAGAAGACAAUGUGGUUUGAAGUCUGGUCUGUCAAACUAUAAAAAAAAAAAAAAAAAUUGAAAAGAAAAAAAAGUCACCGGGCAGCUUCCAUCAACCGAGUCCCCUGCAGGCCGCCAGGCAGGAGAGUGCCCUGUGCGUCUGGAUGAUUGGACUGCCGUGCCGAGUGUUGUGGUGACCUGAGCCGCCGGAACGAGGCACUUGUGAGAAGUGGAGUAUAGUGUUGGUCGCCGUGAGCCUGGCCGUCGCCUCAGGUCAGACAGGAAAGCAAUGUGCCGCGGAUAUCUCCGCAAAGUGCCCGCCGCCAGGCAUCGGCACCGAACCCGUGUUCUUCGAGGUGCCAGAGCACUGCUCUCAGUACUGUGAGUGUUCCAACGGGAUCGCGUGGCUCUUCGUAUGUGCGCGCGGCACAUUGUGGGAUACUUGGAUUGAAGAGUGUAUCGCGGAUUAUUUAGUGGACUGUGGCUCGCGCCCCAACCCUUGAGGCGAGGAACGUCCUGGCACGUGGAAGGAGUAGAAGCGGCAGCCAACCAGUGGCCUUCUUGCAUAAAAAAAAAAAAAAAAAAAAAAAAAAAAAAACGCACUGAAAACUUCGAGAUGUAAAAGGUAGUCCCCGAGGCCGUCUGUAACUUUGUACUAUGAAUAAACCAGAUUUGUAUUUUA